UACGUAGGGUGCAAGCGUUGUCCGGAAUUAUUGGGCGUAAAGAGCUCGUAGGCGGUUCGUCGCGUCUGCUGUGAAAACUCGGGGCUUAACCCCGGGCCUGCAGUGGGUACGGGCAGACUAGAGUGCGGUAGGGGAGACUGGAAUUCCUGGUGUAGCGGUGAAAUGCGCAGAUAUCAGGAGGAACACCGGUGGCGAAGGCGGGUCUCUGGGCCGUAACUGACGCUGAGGAGCGAAAGCGUGGGGAGCGAACAGG
rnacentral:rRNA from 1 species